CUGCAACAGUGAACACACUCGAACAUCUACAUUUAUGAUAGCAGCUACUCUGUCAAUACCCAUGAUGAAGAAACUGAUAAUUACGAUACAGAGAAAUUCUGCACUUGAAGAGAUCAAAAGGAAAGGCAGAUGGACAUAAGCAGACUAUAGUGCAUAAGAGAGUGCUGAGG